CCCCCCGACCCAGCCCCAGGGCAGCCGGCCCCACCUACGAGGAACUGCUACACCCUGACACAAACAUGUACUGCCGGAUCGACCACAGAGCAGAUGUGGCUUCUUAGCUUCCUCCAGGAACUGCCCCUGUGGGCUGACGGAGGGUCCCCUAAGUCCCCAACCCUGUGGAGGAGGCAGGACAUGGAGCCUGAGCCAGAGAAUCAGCUGAGUCCUGGGCAGCCUCUGGGUCCUGUGGCUGGGGAUGGGGGUCCCUCCUGGUGUCUGCACACCUGGACGGGCUGCCAGGGCUCUGGGAUAAGGCCUCCUGUCACCACAGGAAGUAGGGCUUCCAGGGACAGUGAAUGGGCUUGUGGCACCAAGGACCACCUGGAAAGGACUGAAUAAAGAGGACCCUCCGCUCGCUGGCUCUCUUUCUGCUCAUGGGAACUUAGCAGAAAUUCACUCAGUCCAUGUGCGCUCAGUCCUGGGUCACACAGGGAAAAUACUGUCCCUACGUCACCCCAACCCCGGUCUCUCUUCCCUUGGAGACAGGAGUCGGGGGUUGGGACUCAGGAUGGGGUGGACCACACACAGGGGAGGGUGACAUCCACGAGAGCCUGCCCAGGCCGCAGCGCUCAGCUGUCCUCACACCACCCCAGGGACCAGGGCACCAGGGACAGCUCCCAGCCUUCGCCCCUCCGUGGAUGCGCAUUGGGUCUCAGGGGCACAGAAGACGGGGCCAUCCGAUGUCACACACAGAUGGGCAAGGACAGAGCACCCCCGGGCGGUGCAGGUCAGGUGCCACAUUCUCCCCAACAAGCCCGUCCGCACACUGAAGCCCAGAGUCACAGUUCCUGAGGAUGUUCUGCUACUGCUGAGUGUCAUUUGUCCUGAGCUGAGAGGGCUGAUUUCUGCACCUGGGGUGUGACCUGGGCGAGGCUGAGAGCCCAUGCUGGCCUCCUGGCGAGUCUCCCUGGCCCAGAGACUCAGGCUGCUAUUCUGCCUACAAUGUGGUGGGAACCUUCCAUGAUUAAUUUCUGACCCCACUCCCAUGCCUGACCUUGAAACCUCACCCAUCACCCGGCCUGGAGCAGCUCUUGAGCAAGCGUCCUGCUCCCCGACCCCAGCUGAGCGUCCUUUCAUGUGCUCGUUGACUAUUUGUAUAUCUUCUUUGGAGAAAUGCCUAUUUGAGUCCUUUGCCUAUUUUUAGUGAGCCUGGUGAGGCUCACUGGAUGCUUGCCUUGGGUGAGGGUGUCAGGACUGGGUGGUUGUCAUUGUUCUGAAGUUUGCAUGAUGUGGACCCAGGCGUCCAGGGACCCAGAGCACAAGGCCCCUGGUGAGGGGAAGGUCGGAUGGGGCUGAACAGGUUCACGUGAUCAAAAUGGGAAGGACUCCUCAACCUCACCUGUCAGAGCUGUGGCUGUGUCUAGGAGAGAUGACAAGGGUGACCCAGGACAGAGACACUGAGUGUGAGGAUAGGGCCCAGAAGACCCUGGUGGCUGCUCAGAUGCAGGAUGUUAGGAUCGAUCUGUUCCCAUCCAAGGAAAAGAAGCCCCCAGUGUUCCCUGCUGACCCUUACACAGCAUCUUGGGUGGUAUGAGUGUCACACUGACAGGGACCAAAAAACACACCAGAGUUGAUUUACCAAGACUAGUUGUGCAAAAUGCUUUUCUUGCAUUAAUCUUAAAUUUGGAAAGGAAAGAGGAGACAAUAAUUUUUACUGUCUGCUUAACUGGAGACCAGAGAGGUCGAAAUCGGGAGUCUGACUGGUCAAAAGCGCUUUCCCACUUUGCUGGCUCCAUCGGGCCCUGGAUGCCCUUCCCUACAGCCUUCAGAAGGGCAGAGCGGCUUUGAUGACCCUGCUCGCUGUGCCACACUGUGGGGGCAAAGGCAAAACCGUUACCAAAAAUUUGGUCCUUGUGCCCAAGGCCAAAUCAGUGAGAAAGAAGGAGGAGGACAAGUGGUUUGA